rnacentral:ncRNA from 2 species
UGGCGCGCCGACGCCAGAGGUGCCCGGUAACACGGGCUAAGAGGGAAGCCGGUUCGAUUCCGGCGCUGCCCCCGCAACUGUAACCGGAUAGCGCGUCGCCCAUUCAUGCCACUGGUGUCGGCUUCGGCCAGCACCGGGAAGGCGGGCGACGAGCCGUGACCCGGAAGCCAGGAAACCUGCCCUUGGUUGUCGUUCCGC